rnacentral:miRNA from 1 species
CUGGGAUUACAGGCGUGAGCCACCGCGCCUGGCCGCUAAUUUUUAAAAAAAUUUUGGGCCGGGCACGGUGGCUCACGCCUGUAAUCCCAGC